rnacentral:miRNA from 1 species
CUCCUGACCGCGGGUUCCGAGU